AACCCAAAUUGAGAGCACCUGGGAACAUGCAGAACUGAAUCUGAGUUUUGUAGCACCAACAGCAGUUUCUAAUAAGUACUGAAAAUGUCUUUCUCUUUAGAUUGGCUGCUGGUAUCUAUAUUGCAGAAGCAGAUGCUCAAGAAAUUAUUCAGAGGCUUUAAAUGGUGUUUAAUUGGAAUCACCUGGAAAAAACAGGCAGUACUUGGAAAAUCUGCCUGAUAGACAUCUGGGGAGACUUCCUGAAAUGCUACAGGUUUGAAGAUAUUCAUAUUUUUGUGAGGGUAGGCAAGAGAAGAAAGCGAAUCAUUCUUGACAGCAACUUUUUAUAAGGUAAUCUUGUGAUGAUGAUAUGAAAUGAUUUGGGUCUUCAAGAACAGUACAUACUUUAAUGGAUGUUUUAUUUAGUGUUAGCUGUGGUCAUAAUUUUA
rnacentral:lncRNA from 1 species